GAGCCUCUGGUGGUGUGGAGCCGCCUCGCCGCGCUUGGCUUGGCUGUGGUGACGCAGCUCGCUAACUCCGCUUUUGCGCUGUGGUGGGCAGCUAGCCUGGAGUAGUGGGUGCUGAUGGUCCAGUUCCUGAUUAACUCGACGCUAACGUUUCACGUUGCCCUCGCAUUUCUUCCUGCUUUCCCUCCUUCUCAGUGACGUGAGGUGGGGUCUGUUUACAUUUUCCAAUAAGGGAGGGGCUUUCCAGCACCGCGGGCGUGUCCGCUUGCUGGUCGUUCCGUAGUGGUCAGCGCCGUGUGCCACUGGCGGUUCUGAUGAAGCCUGUGGCUGGUUACAACUGCAGAGUGUUUUUGCAAAUAUCCCAAAUCACCCUUGAGACUACAAGAAGACGUUAGGAGCUAGCGAGGGUGGACCGGAACAGCGCCCUCAGCGGCUCCUUCCGAAGCUGGCUGUCUGGCUGGUGCAGCCUGCGUGCCAGUCUCAGUGCGGGCCCACUUCCUGUUGUCCUGUAUUUGUUCAGAUAAAGUCAUUCUGUAACACUCAGGGAGACGGGCGGGGAGGGGCGCCAGUCUCCUGGGCGACCUCCUGCGGUUCUCUGGGAGAGCCCUCUGGAGGAGCGGGGCCACCCGCCCUGAGACCUGGUCCGGGUGCGGCUGUGGUCCGCUGCAAGCACUUUUUCCAAGGCUGGAGGAACAGUGUUUCUUUUCCCCGCAGCCGAGCGAGCGAGCGGAGAGCUCCGCCGGUGCCUUGUGACAGCGGCCCGUUGGCCGGCAGCCCUGGGCAUGGCGUCUGGGGUAGCGCAGGGAGCAGCGUGGCAGCCCUGCCCCGGGUUGGGUUAAGGCUGCAGGGGCUGUCGUUCUCUGAGUCCGUCUGUCUCAGCCUUGCCUGCACAGCCUAAGACAGCCGUAUUAAGCCGACUCAAUUGUGCAGCAUUUCAGGCUCCUGACAGCCAGCGUGCUGUUCACUUUGAGUGCAUAAGGGUUUUAGAGAUGAAGCUCUCGCUUCGCAUGAACAGGAGCCAGUCCGUGAGUGACCACAUGGAAGCAGGCGGGCUCACCCAGGGCGUUUCUGUCCGCACCGCUGGGGGAGCUGACAGCGGUUUCCUGACCACGCCGCUCCUGUUGGCAGGAGACCUGGACAGGACGCUUCAAGAUGCCGAGGCAGGAAGUCGGUGCUGUAGGCUUUGUCUAGCUGUGGGCUCGGGACAGGGUCCCUGUCAGCUCUCAGGGCCUUCGCAGUCACUGUAGUUGCUGGGAACAGGAUUCACACUUCUACACGUGUUUCAGGAGUGGAUUUAUUAUUCUGCUUGCACUUUUUAAAUUUCCAGCCUAUGUUUUCUUUUUCUUAAAUUAUACUGAGAAACUACAUUCAUUUCCUGCUUGGAAGUCCUUGUGGCCAACUUCAACUCAACAACACUUUUUCCAAAACAGCUACUUUUAACUAAAUUGCUUGGGAUAUUUCCACGGAAAUGAUAUUAUAGUAAUGUUACCAUUUAAAUCCUAGAGUACAGUUAAUAGUGAAAAAAUGACAAAAUCAUGUUUAUUGCUAUUGUUUAGUAUGUGGUUUUUAAUUUUAUUUAUUUUUAAAAAGAUUUAUUUAUUUGAAAGACAGAGUUACAGAGCAAGAGGGAGAAACAGAGAGAGAGAGAGAGAAUCAACCUUCCACCUGCUGGUUCACUCCUCCAAUGGCUGCAGCAGCCAGGGCUGGGCCAGGCUGAAGCCAGGAGCCAGGGGCUCCAUCCUGGGUCUCCCAGCUGGGUGGCAGGGACCCAAGCUUUUGGGCCAUCUUCCACUGCCUUCCGACGCACAUUAGCUGGAUCAGAAGUGGAACAGCUGGGACUCGAACUUAUGCUCAUAUGAGAUGCUGGCAGUGGCUUAACCCACUGUACCACACCACCAGCCCUUGUUUUUUUUUUUUUUUUUUUAAGUUGCUGUUAAAAUGUAAUGUUAAGCUUUUUUUUUUUUUAAGAUUUAUUUUAUUUAUUUGAAAGAGUUACAGAGAGAGGUAGAGAGAGAAGGAGAGAGAGGUCUUCCAUCCGCUGGUUCACUCCCAAGAUGGCCACAACAGCCAGAGCUACACCGAUCUGAAGCCAGGAGCCAGGAGUCUCCUCCAGGCCUCUCAUGUGGGUGCAGGGGCCCAAAGACUGGGCCAUCUUCCACUGCUUUCCCAGGCCAUAGCAGAGAGCUAGAUUGGAAGAGGAGCAGCCAGGACUUGAACUGGCACCCAUAUAGGAUGCCAGCGCUUCAGGCCAGGGCUUUAACCCGCUGUGCCACAGCGCCAGCCCCAGUGUUAAGCUUUAUCUUUCAACUUUGACCCAAGUAUUAUUUUUCAGGUAGUUUAAAUAAUGUUAUGUUUUUCCAGUUAGGUUAGUAAUAGCUUUCCCUUGUGUUUUGGGUGUUUUGUGGUAAACUAUAAUUCAUUACAUGCCUUUUAAAAAUUUGCAAGAUUCCACAUAUAUAUUUAUAUAAAACGUUAAAAACCCUGUUUAUAAGAAGGUUGAUUAUAUAGACUGAGAAUGGCUUCCCGUGGAAUUCUCCAGGUGUGGGGACGCCGUAAGGCGCCUGACGCUGAGCUGGAAAGCCCUGCCCUCUGCCACUGAAGCUGUGUUGCACAUUAACUUCGGUCCAGUGCUGUCAGUCGGCCGUAGACUCUAAGAACACCUCUACCAAUCUAACAAGUACAAAAACAUAGUAGCAAUGGUUGUGUGCUUUGAAGUUAAGUUUUUAAAAAAUGUAUAUCACUGAAAUUAUGUAAAUUAAAGUGUACAGAUUUUUUUCUUCAUUACAUUUAUGAUUUCAUGAGAUAUAAGACUCAGGGCCUUUCUUUUAAAAUUGUUUUUAGUGCAGUUAUUAUGUGCUGCAUGCCCAGUAAAACAAAGUCCAAAUUUAAAAGUGUAUUUUUUUUUAAAGAUUUAAUUUAUUUCUUUGAGAGGUGGAGUUACGGACAGAGAGAGGGAGAGACAGAGAGAAAGGUCUUCCUUCCACUGGUUCACCCCCCAAAUGGCCACAAUGACAGGAGCUGGGCCAAUCUGAAGCCAGGAGCUUCUUCCCAGUCUCCCACAUGGGCCAUCCCCCACUGCUUUCCCAGGCCAUAGCAGAGAGCUGGAUCGGAACCUCAGGCAGAGGCUUAGCCUACUUCAUCACAGUGCCGGCCCCAAAAGUGUACAUUUUAACAUUGGCUAUAGUGUGGUUAGGUAUUUCAUUUGCUAUGAUCAUACAAUGUACUAUCAAGGAAUUAAUGUUCUAAAUUUAAUUUUAAACUUGUACGUAGUAGGAAUGUCGACUUUUCAUAGCGAAGUUGAUUUGGUUUUCUUAUGGAAUGCAUGGCCCAUGAUUAUUUUAACAGGAAAGAUACUGAUUCUGAGAGUGCAGUUUGGUAACUGCCGAGCACGCAUGCGCAUGAGAUCGUGUGGGGGAGUUCCUGUGGGGCUGCGUUGUUCAGAGUUACGGGGAACUCAGGGAAGUGGCGAUGGCUGACGUCUCGCUGCGGCUUCAUUCUGUUCUAUUCCUUCCUUAAAGCUGUGGGACGCUGGGAGUGACAGACAGACAGGUACAGAACCCUCAGUGAGGUCCCGUGUUCCCCGUAGACUCCCAGGGGCGCUCACUGCACCUUGCUGGGCUGUGGCGUCUGCCUGCUUCGUGCCCUGGGCUCCUUCUAACCGCCGCUGUCAGCCUUCGCAUGGCGCCCAUUCCUGCCUGGCAAGUCUCAGCCCAUGUAAUGCACCUGCCGAGGAGGAUGACGUUUCAGAGGAUAGUUUUUAUCUACGUACAAUGCAAAAUUAUAAGAGUUCCUUCAAGGAAGGCUUAAUGUUUUGGUACCUUUUACCUGGAAAAAAUCUGAUUUUGCAUUUUUAAGUUUAUGUUGAGUAGUUUAAACAAACAUUAACUGCGUUUAGUUUUCUGAGUUAGAAAGUGUUUCUCAUUAAGUCUGACUUAUCAAAUCACUUUGCUGAAAUGAUCUGUUCUUACAACAGGUAAAUUUCACGUAGAAGGCAUGGUAAAUGUUAAAGUAUUAUCUUGUAUUUCCUCCUUCGCCCCUUCCCUCCGGUCUGUCGAUUUCACUAUCAAUAAACCCUUUCCCUAAAAAAAGGAAAGUAUUAUCUUUUAAACUAUCCUGUGUAUUCUCAGAGUGUCAGUUUGUUAAGAAUUUACUGAAUUACUGAAUAUGCUUCUUGCUGUUUCCUUAUCACUUCUGUAUUCUUUCUUUUUCUGAGAUUUCCAUUCAAAAUCAGUAUUUUGGUUAUAAGAUUCAUUUGGUUUCAGAAUGAUCUCAUUAUACAUGAUAAUUUUACAAAAGGCCUGAGAAUUUUAUCUAUAAAUCACAUUGAAUCUGUUAAAAGCUAAUUAAAAAUCAGAAUAAAAAUGUUUUUUACAAGAGGCCCGUCAGGUGACUGCCGUCCGUCCCUCCUCAGGACGGGGACGGACUUACAGUUCUGAUGGAGCUGGAGGAGUGUGUGGAUGGAAUUGUCAGCGUGUGUCUGUCCCUCCUUGCCAAGCGUUCCAGUCACUCGGAUUCUAUGUAUAUAUACGUGUAUAUGUUUAUAGAAAAUUGUAUAUUCUACAUAAUCCCCAACGAGAGAGUUACUUCAGCUGAUAACAUGUGAAACUUUUAAAGAAUCAUGAAAGUAAUGUGAAGCUUUUUUGCAUUAAAAGGCCAGCACCUUUGGCAGCAUGAUUCUGUUGCUGGCUUCGCAGAUUCUCUAUGGGAAUAACAUACGCUUUCCUAUUUUACAUUCUUCACCCUAGGUUGACAAGUUUUAAUUUGGUCCAUGUCUAGUAUAUAUUCUUAUCAGUACCACCAGAAAUAAAGUUCUUUGGGGGAUUUUUUUUAACAACUUUUAUUUUAAGAAUAAUUUUAGGCCUAAAGAAAGAUGUAAAAUAUUGUAGUCCCUUGAUGGUAGCAUCGUCCUUAACGGUAGUGUAAUUACCAAAAGCAGAAACUGAAAUUCAGUUACUGCUAUUUUUGUUCAACAGUGUUGACUAAACUACUGACUUCACUUCGAUUUCUCCGUGUUCGCCGCUGGUGUAGUUUCUGUGGUCCAGGGUUCAAUCCAGUUGUCUCUUGUUGCUGCUUCUCCCCCAUCUGCCCUGUCUCCCUCAGUCUCCCCCAUCUGCCCUGUCUCCCCCAUCUCUCCCAGUCUCCCCCAGUGUCUCCCAGUCUCCCCUGUCUCCCCCAGCUCCCCCAGUCUCCCCCAGUCUCUCCCAGUCUUGCCUUCUCCUUCACGGCUGCCCAGAUGGCUCAGCGCUCAGCAGCUGGUUCUGUAGGAGGUCCCUGGUGUGACUGUCUGAUGUCUCCUCGUGGUGAGGGAGACGCUGCCAUCAUUAGGAAGGCCCUGUGUGGUGCACCCGCCGGGCAGGGGCUUCCUGGUGCUAAGGCCUGCCGCUGCCCGCUCUCAGCUCUGCAGGGUCCUGGGCUCCUGCGUGCGCGAGUGAAUGCCUGCAGCGUCCCGCCCCCGCCGUGCUUCUCCGGGCACUGAGCUCAGCUCUGGCGCUGGGCCUGGUAGGCGCCGCUGUUUUCUGAGGUUUGCCGGACAGCAAACUUUUUCUGUUCCCUUUCUACUUUCAUAAAUGUAUUCCGUUUAUAGAUAGGAUAAGGAAAAGUGAGGGAGAUUGGUGUUUCUUUCUCAUCCAUUUACUUAUUCAAUUAUGAAUUUAUGGACAACAGUUUUGUCUAUGAGUUAUAAUCCAGUAAUUAUUUUGUUGGGCAAAUGUUCCUUUAUGGUUUUUUUUUAAAAAGAUUUAUUUGUUUAUUUGAAAGUCAGAGUUACACAGAGAGAUGGAGAGGCAGAGAGAGAGGUCUUCCAUCUGCUAGUUCACUCCCCAAUUGGCUGCAAUGGCUAGAGCUGUGCCGACCUGAAGCCAGGAGCCAGGAGCUUCUUCCAGGUCUCCCACUUGGGCACAGGGGCUCAAGGACUUGAGCCAUCUUCUACUGCUGUCCCAGACUAUAGAAGAGCGCUGGAGCUGAGCCGAUCCAAAGCCAGGAGCCAGGAGCUUCUUCAGGGUCUCCCAUGGGGUGCAGGGGCUCAAGCACUUGGGCCAUCUUCUACGGCUGUCCCAGGCGCAUUAACAGUCUCCUAGUUCACCCCGCAAAGGUCUGCAGCUGCUGAUCCAAGUGGAGGCUGAAGCUGGGAGCUGGGACAGGCAGGGCCCCCAGUGGGUGAUGAGCCAGCACCACACCAUCACACUGCCUCCCAGCUUCUGCGUGAGCAGGAAGCUGGAGUCAGGAGCAGGAGCGGGGCACUGAACCAAGUUCUCCAGCAUGGGACGUGGGAUCCCAGCUUCUAGGCCAAAUGCCUGUCCCUCUUGAGUGAUUUUUAAAUCCGGAAAAAAAAAAAAAAGUCCCGAA